rnacentral:rRNA from 1 species
UGAGUAACCUGCCCUUAACUCUGGGAUAAGCCUGGGAAACUGGGUCUAAUACCGGAUAUGACUCCUCAUCGCAUGGUGGGGGGUGGAAAGCUUUAUUGUGGUUUGGAUGGACUCGCGGCCUAUCAGCUUGUUGGUGAGGUAAUGGCUCACCAAGGCGACGACGGGUAGCCGGCCUGAGAGGGUGACCGGCCACACUGGGACUGAGACACGGCCCAGACUCCGUACGGGAGCAG